UACGUAGGGUGCAGGCGUUAAUCGGAAUUACUGGGCGUAAAGCGUGCGCAGGCGGCUUCCUAAGUCAGAUGUGAAAUCCCCGGGCUCAACCUGGGAACUGCGUUUGAAACUGGGAGGCUAGAGUGCGGCAGAGGGGGGUGGAAUUCCACGUGUAGCAGUGAAAUGCGUAGAUAUGCGGAGGAACACCGAUGGCGAAGGCAAUCCCCUGGACCUGUACUGACGCUCAUGCACGAAAGCGUGGGGAGCAAACAGG
rnacentral:rRNA from 1 species